rnacentral:rRNA from 1 species
AUGAUGAAGAAGACGUACAUCAUCGAUAGGAGUAUGACACAGAGGGAUCCGAUGGCACCGUUGGCUGACAUGCUGAAGCCGAGCGGGGGCACCAUCACGCCAACUCAAGUUCAACAUGGGACGAAGAAACAUGCUGAAGCCAAGCGUGCGCGCCAUCACGCCAACUCAAGUUCAACGUGGGACAAAGAAGCAAACAAACAAAAUAAAUCAAGCACCCGCUGGAAUCAAAUUGUAAUACUCCCUCUGUUCCUAAAUAUAAGUCUUUUUAGAGAUUUCAAUAUGGAUUGCAUACGGAGCAAAAUAAGUGAAUCUAUACUCUAA